GACGAACGCUGGCGGCGUGCUUAACACAUGCAAGUCGAACGGAAAGGCCCUGCUUUUGUGGGGUGCUCGAGUGGCGAACGGGUGAGUAACACGUGAGUAACCCGCCCUUGACUUUGGGAUAACUUCAGGAAACUGGGGCUAAUACCGGAUAGGAGCUCCUGCUGCAUGGUGGGGGUUGGAAAGUUUCGGCGGUUGGGGAUGGACUCGCGGCUUAUCAGCUUGUUGGUGGGGUAGUGGCUUACCAAGGCUUUGACGGGUAGCCGGCCUGAGAGGGUGACCGGCCACAUUGGGACUGAGAUACGGCCCAGACUCCUACGGGAGGCAGCAGUGGGGAAUAUUGCACAAUGGGCGGAAGCCUGAUGCAACAACGCCGCGUGCGGGAUGACGGCCUUCGGGUUGUAAACCGCUUUCGCCUGUGACGAAGCGUGAGUGACGGUAAUGGGUAAAGAAGCACCGGCUAACUACGUG
rnacentral:rRNA from 1 species